ensembl:snoRNA SNORA72 Small nucleolar RNA SNORA72
CUGCGAAUAUUCUCGCUGUUCUGAUUUUGUAAUAGUCAGGACAGGCUAAACAUUCGCUAUAUUAAGACCAUGCGUGUGUCCCCAGACCUAGUUCUUUCCCUAGGUUUGGUUUUAUAAAUGCUGGUGAUAAAC